GUUGGGAUAACUAACUAAUCAUAUUGCAGAUAUAAUAUACCAGGCUAUAAUCCAUGACAUUUGCCAGCUAAAUCCAUAAUCAAAGAAAACAUUGCCAUGUCGGUGGAUGUAUUCACUUUAAUAUAAAGCUUCAAUCCCCAGUUAAGAGUACACUAUUCAAAGCAGGAUGUUGAAGUGAACGAGAUUUCCACCGAUAUUGUUAUUAAUUGUAAUAAAUUUAUCUCCACAAACAGGAGAUUUACAUAAUGUCUCCAUGUGAUUAAGAUAUACCUCUGACAGCAGUCAUCUUUUGAACCCAACCUUCACCGGUGUCGCCACGGUUUGAUUUAUAACGCUUCGGCCAUUUGUUCACCAGUGUCGGCGCUUCCCUUAGAUGUUUCCAUUAGUGAAUUAUUAAAUCAUUCACGAUUUAUUCAUGUGUUUAAUGUCAGGGGAUUAAGUUAAAAAUUCUUUAGAUUCAAAUUUGUAACUUGAAUAUAUAUAAAGAAAAAACAUUUACACAAACAUUUUGAUUUGUGGACAAAAUUGGCAUAGAUAUUAUUGUCUCAAGUAGUUUUGGUUUUUUUUUAGACAAGAUUAAUGUGCCCCAUUAAUAUAUACAGUCACAAUGUUAGAACACUGGGGAUAUGCUAUCUAAUACUAACUCUACUUUUAAACUGCUGAAAAUUUCUCAAAAUAUAUGUAUUAAGAUCAUUUUCAACUAUUUGCCCAUAUCACCUGACUUCCAAGCCAGAUUAGGUAGUGAAUGUUGUAUAUGUCAGUUAAUUACAGGACAGGUACACAUUUGAGUUUGGGGGUUUUAAAGAAAAAAAAAAAAAAAAAAAAAAAGAAGGAAAAGGAAAGAAAAGAAAUAGAAGAAUACAUGUUUGAGUUGAUUACAGCAUAGGUACUCCAGGUUAUACACUUCAGUUCAUUAUAAAACAUAGGUACUCCAGGUUAUACACUUCAGUUCAUUAUAAAACAUAGGUACUCCAGGUUAUACACUUCAGUUCAUUAUAAAACAUAGGUACUCCAGGUUAUACACUUCAGUUCAUUAUAAAACAUAUGUACUCCAGGUUAUACACUUCAGUUCAUUAUAAAACAUAUGGUCUAGGACUUUAGGUAACACAUAAUACAUGUUUGAGUUGAUUACAGCAUAGGUACUCCAGGUUAUACACUUCAGUUCAUUAUAAAACAUAGGUACUCCAGGUUAUACACUUCAGUUCAUUAUAAAACAUAGGUACUCCAGGUUAUACACUUCAGUUCAUUAUAAAACAUAGGUACUCCAGGUUAUACACUUCAGUUCAUUAUAAAACAUAGGUACUCCAGGUUAUACACUUCAGUUCAUUAUAAAACAUAGGUACUCCAGGUUAUACACUUCAGUUCAUUAUAAAACAUAGGUACUCCAGGUUAUACACUUCAGUUCAUUAUAAAACAUAGGUACUCCAGGUUAUACACUUCAGUUCAUUAUAAAACAUAUGGUCUAGGACUUUAGGUAACACAUAAUACAUGUUUGAGUUGAUUACAGCAUAGGUACUCCAGGUUAUACACUUCAGUUCAUUAUAAAACAUAGGUACUCCAGGUUAUACACUUCAGUUCAUUAUAAAACAUAGGUACUCCAGGUUAUACACUUCAGUUCAUUAUAAAACAUAGGUACUCCAGGUUAUACACUUCAGUUCAUUAUAAAACAUAGGUACUCCAGGUUAUACACUUCAGUUCAUUAUAAAACAUAGGUACUCCAGGUUAUACACUUCAGUUCAUUAUAAAACAUAGGUACUCCAGGUUAUACACUUCAGUUCAUUAUAAAACAUAUGGUCUAGGACUUUAGGUAACACAUAAUACAUGUUUGAG
rnacentral:lncRNA from 1 species